UAGCAUAUCAAUAAGCGGAGGAAAAGAAACCAACAGGGAUUGCCCCAGUAACGGCGAGUGAAGCGGCAACAGCUCAAAUUUGAAAUCUGGCCCCUCGGGCCCGAGUUGUAAUUUGUAGAGGAUGCUUUUGGCAAGGUGCCGCCCGAGUUCCCUGGAACGGGACGCCGCAGAGGGUGAGAGCCCCGUCUGGCUGGCCGCCGAGCCUCUGUAAAGCUCCUUCGACGAGUCGAGUAGUUUGGGAAUGCUGCUCAAAAUGGGAGGUAUAUGUCUUCUAAAGCUAAAUAUUGGCCAGAGACCGAUAGCGCACAAGUAGAGUGAUCGAAAGAUGAAAAGCACUUUGAAAAGAGGGUUAAACAGUACGUGAAAUUGUUGAAAGGGAAGCGCUCAUGACCAGACUUGGGCUUGGCGGAUCAUCCGGCGUUCUCGCCGGUGCACUUCGCCUCGCCCAGGCCAGCAUCAGUUCGCGCCGGGGGACAAAAGCUUCGGGAAUGUGGCUCCUCCGGGAGUGUUAUAGCCCGUUGCAUAAUACCCUGGUGCGGACUGAGGUUCGCGCAUCUGCAAGGAUGCUGGCGUAAUGGUCAUCAGCGACCCGUCUUGAAACACGGACCAAGGAGUCGUCUUCGUAUGCGAGUGUUCGGGUGUCAAACCCCUACGCGUAAUGAAAGUGAACGCAGGUGAGAGCUUCGGCGCAUCAUCGACCGAUCCUGAUGUUCUCGGAUGGAUUUGAGUAAGAGCAUACGGGGCCGGACCCGAAAGAAGGUGAACUAUGCCUGUAUAGGGUGAAGCCAGAGGAAACUCUGGUGGAGGCUCGCAGCGGUUCUGACGUGCAAAUCGAUCGUCAAAUAUGGGCAUGGGGGCGAAAGACUAAUCGAACCUUCUAGUAGCUGGUUUCCGCCGAAU
rnacentral:rRNA from 1 species